rnacentral:sRNA from 1 species
CACCAAAAUUAAGCAUUAAACGUUGAACCCGCAAUAUCAGCUGAUUGUGAUGAUAACGCCAAACUGAGUUCGUAUUACCAGUGUCCAGAAGUAAUGCAGGGAAAAAAGUCCUAAACGGGCAAAGCGGAAAUCGAUGCGUGGGCCGAAGGAAUCGCCCUCCCACUCCCCAGAACGAAAAGUCGUAAAAAGACCCCACAAAUAUUCAUGUUUAUCAGUUGGAAACAAGAACUUAUUGCUUUUUCAAUUUCCCGUACAGUAACAACUCGAAAGCAGCUGCCACACGAAAGGAUUGUCUUUAUAUAGAGAAAAAAAUUGUUAGAAGCGACCGAUUACAAUAUACUACGAAUACAACCAAGAUGGCGUAUGAGUGAUAUUUCCUAUUCAGCAGUGUGACCAUGCAAUAAAAAAUGUGGUGCCAUUUAGACAAUUUUAGUUAAAGAUCCUGCUAAAACAAUGGAACUACAGAAAAUUUGUGCGCCAACGAGUUCUUUUUCUCUGUAUAGCUUGGUCAUAAUCCAAUAUUUCACAAAUAUGAGCUGGCAUUGCCCGACAUUCGCUAAUUUCGCCAUAAAACUAAAGCCAUUGCGUGAUAGGCAUAAAAAAGGACACACAAGCCCACACACACACACACACAUUUCCAGAGAGAGAAGGAUAAAUAAUAGGCCUGCCAGGACGAAACACGAAGUGAAAGAGAGAGCAGACGAGUGAAAGAGACGAAGCACGAGCAAAGUAUUUGCAGAAAUUUUACGAUUUGCCUUGAAAACGAAAUAAAGCGUUUAAGUGUGUAGGUGAGUGCGUAAGUGUGCGUCAGUGCGUGUGUGCGUGUGUGUGAGGGUAUAUCGCCUUUAGUGGUAUUUGUCUUCUCACUUCUCGAGUGCAUCAAAUUUACACAACUCGCUGAUGAAAUCUCGUGAGCCUCUUCGUUAAAAGCUCACUUAAAUGGGAAUUUCGGAGGGGGAAAGGUGAACGAAUGUGGGCGGUCGAAAGGUGAUUCCCACUCCCACACGCCCCUCAAAAAUGUCAGAAUAUCCCCAGAAAUGUGUUUCCCAAACCAGAACAAACAAAUCCGAUGGAGAGCAGAAAAGAACAUGGCAAACACCAUAUUAAAGUCGGAAUGAAGGCAAAUAAAUUCGAAAUGUUUAUGCAGUUUUUGCUGCCGAGGAGGACAGAAAUAAAUUCAAAUUAAAUUCGGGCCAAACAUUUUCCCCACCAAGGCGAGCCAUAAAUAAUUGGAGGCAAAAAAAUCAGACAAAGAUACAUUAAGCAACAAAUUAUUGUCCAUUGCAAAUGUUGUUCAAUCUAAAUCUCGACAAAUGAACCUUCUUAUAAAUAUGAUAUCAAUUGAAAUAUCAAACUUCGAAUUGCUAUUUAAAUUCUUUAAAAUGUUGUGUUCUUUAAGUUCUCAAGGCAACAACCCCCUUUGCCUCUUAACUGGAUUUUGGCUUGCUGCCUGCGAUUACCAUUCCCAUUCAAUCCAUUAGCGACCCCUUUAAUGAAUCGAUUAUUAUUUAUCUUGUCGACUGGACGAGAUCGAGCAGUUAUCACCUUGUCAGUGGCUACAUUUUCCGCAUCUUUGAUGGGCAUUUUUCGCGAGCCAUGAACAAACAGUGGAAAUUGUUUUAAAAAUAAACUCAAAGUGUGCCAAAACCAAACAAAACGAGCCAGGAGGAAGGCGAGCAAGUAAAAGCCGGACGAAAAAGACAUUUUUUGGCUGGCUGGAAAGGAAUUUUCACCCCUUUCGAGUUUAUUUUCGGAUGCUGCAUUGGCGUCUGCGGGACUUUUGGACGGAAAGGCGAGGAAAUGGGACUGGGUGCCGCCGCAGACAAGCUGAAGCGUUCUGCAAUUCACUUGGCCACAAUACAAAUCAACCGUCGGACUUCAAUCACAUUAAAAGCAUGCACCCAGGAACUCCGGAAUAUAUGACCCAAAUAAAUCAGGCGUCCAGAUAAACCGGUCUACACACUAUGUAUAUACUCCAUGGAUUGUAUACUCCAUGUACAUCCACUCACCCCGCCAAAUGCAAUCCGAUUGUCAGAUCGCAAAGUGCUGCAUCAUACUCGGUCGCCUUUCGGAAUGACAAGCCCCCAGAAGUCCAUUGGGCUGGAAGUUAGUCGUAAGCAAUAUAGUCCCACGAUGACUCAAGACCAUGACACAGGGAUUGGGCAAAAUCGGUUUGGGGGGAAACCUUAUCUCCGCGGAAUUUGACCGCAAAAACAAAUGCUUCAGUUUCUUCAAAUCGAAGCUGACGUACCUGGCUGGAUUUUUAUGCGAAUUUAUUGAGGGGGCACGGGGAAAGCCUUUACGUAAUACUUUUAUUGAACAUACAAUACACGCAGGUCGAUUAAAACGUUUGCAAUCAGCAAUUGUGAAUCAAGAAUUUGGUUGCCAGGGGCGAAAUCGAGCUCUUGAUUCAUUGAGGCAAAGUUAUUCAUCUCCUAAUCAAAAUUAUUUUAUCACCAUAUUUUAAAAACCCUCAGUGAACGAAGUACAUUCAUUAGUCGAAAUAAUUUCAGAAAGUUAUACCCUACUAAAAGUUUGCUGGCAUCCGGCAAUCAAACAGAAAACAAAUUGACUUAUGUGCGCAGAUAGCUAUUGCACAUCUGCCCACAUGGAUUCUAGCCAGAUCCACAUCGAAACCCAUGACCAUAUCGAGAGCACUGGGUCUAGACUCGAGUGAGCGUAGUAAAUCAUUUGCGCAGUUGCAAAUCGGUCAGAUGCAUGCACACAUAUGUACAUAUCUGCUAACCCCCAAGUCCCCCGAUGCCCCAACUUUUGCAUGCUUGGCAUCUGGAGAAUUAUUUCAUAAGUUCCGCCGGCAGUUACAGCCCAAUGUUGUUGCCAUCUCGCUCAGCUGCCACGUAAUUCUGCCAACAAUUUGCGAAACGAGCUCAAUAGACGUCGAAUUCGUGAAAUCGAAAGGGGCGACGCCGUUUCACUCACGUCGCUUCUACUGGAUUUGCAGACACAUAGAUAGGCACAGCAGGGGUCAACAUAGUAGCAUGCACUUCAGAUACAAAUAUUUUAAUUCUGAGCAGAAUCAAUAUCUUCAAGAUACUGCAUCUAUAAAGUGUACUGAUCAUUGAUAAUUGUUAAUUUGUAGAUUCUGGUUUCUGACCCUAUUCAAUUAACCACAGGUGUGGUGGUCAGGCUAGUCACUCAUGGGGCAGCAGGUGCAGACGUUGUUUUGGAAUUCCAUGGAAAUGCCCCCAGCAGAUUGUGGGUCUUGGUCUGGGGCCGGUCUGGUUAUGGACUUUUCAAAUCUGGCAUACGUGCCGAGCCGAGCACCAUGAACUGCUCGAAAGCCCACUCAAAGCGGAGCGAGUGAGUCGGAGAGCCGCCGUCUGUUCCGGCGAUCGAGAGUCGGGAUCGGAGGGUAUGUGCUUGGCGGGGUGCUCGGAUCCACGGGGCACCAAUGCUACCGCUCGAAGAAGUGCAAAAAGUGAGCAGGCAGAGGCGAAUGUGUGCCGCCGUCUGUGUUUCGCCGUUUGUGUGCCGGCCGGCAUCUGGUGGAACUGGUUUCUUCUUUCCACGGGCGGCUCUCCCAGCACUUUGCGAAAAUAAUGAAAACAAAAAGUCGGCGAAAGAUUUGGCAAUGCACAGACACAGACACAAGCGGGGAACAUAUGAUAAGGCGGACACGUUCAUGGGGAGUGAUGUGGAGGAAAACGAGAAACCAAACCGAACAGCAGAUCAAGUUUUUUCUGUUUGCAAGUAAGGCCCGAAAAGCGGGAACAAAAACAAUGGCCAAUGACGAGGCAUUCAUACAAAAAACAGAGAUGAGGAACGGAAGCUGUAGGGUGAUGAAGUUCUCCAGAUAAUUCGGGGGUUCUCUUCCGAUAUCCUCCCUUUUUCUACCUACUUAAACAGCUACUGUGUGUCAUGAUGCGGAAUAUCAGAAACGAAGAUACAUGAUCAAUCAACCAGAUUUGUUCGAAAUGUUUGGGCAAACAGGUGUUUGAAUGGCUUGUGGAGUGGAUGGGAAGAAAGACAGUCAGAUAAACUGGUUUACAAUUCCAUUGUAGUCUUAAAAGAAAGCUGCCUUUAAACUCAGGAAUGAUAUGAUGAUAACUAUUGCGGUUAUCACUAUUUAGGUGUGUUCGCUAUUGCUAAAUGUAAUCAUUUUUCCCUACUGCACAUUGAACUCCCGUUAAUGGUUUGCUGAAUGGUUUAUAAAUGGGCCAUAAGUUAACCAGAAGCUAAUUGCGGAUUGGGGGCCCAGAUAAGAUUAUCAAAGCUGACGCAAAUCGAUCGGAAAGCCUCGUCGUGGGGGUUGGCCAUUGGAUAAUCCGCGAUUUACGAGCAACCGAAUCAACAGCGAAUCAAAGGCCAAAUCUUAGUGGUAGGCCAAUAUUGAUUUAUCCUUUUGUGACAGCCCAUGGAUUUUAUGUUUUUCGCAGGACGAAGGACAGCACAACACGCCACUCAAGUGUUGACAACUGUCGGAGGAAGAACUGCGUGGAAUGGGAGGAGACAGCUGGCUAUUAUAUAUCACACUUUUUGUGUGCUCUCGGCCAACAGAGGCCGAAAAGGCCUCCACGUCCUGCUGCCCCAUAAAUGUAUCUGGUUCCUCGGUAGCUGUAUCCGUAUCUAUAUCUGUAUGUUUAUCUAAGCUCCGCGAAUGAAGCCAACAAAAGGUACAAAAGCCACCGCCAAGAGAUGGUGCAAAAGUGAGCGGGGGGAUUCACCCAUGCGCCAACAGGAAAGCGGAUGAGUUAUAGUCGAGAUACAGAUACGCCGAUAAUGAUGGAUGUUUGGGGGACGAGUGGGAACACAAAUAAACAAUUAUCAUCUGAUGUUAAAAAAAAGUGGCAACACUUUAACGUAAGGUUUGUAUGGGCCUGUAUACACAGAAAAAAAAAUAUUUAAUACCUUUGCAAAGGGAAAGUGCCACAUUAAACACUACCAUUCUGUGCUAUUUUCUUGCUCUGUAGCAUUUGGAUGACUAAGUAUUGUUUCGAUGUCGAUGAAGAUGGUAUCACCAUCGAAUAAUUGUGUAGAUUACAAAAUUUGUGUCACGUUUUGUCGCUUUUCUGCUACCGAAUGUUUGUCAUGUGUUUUUGGUUUAGCUUGUUUUUUUUUGCCCCCAGCUUUAAUUUCAACAAAUUAGCGACAUAAUGAAACGCUUAAUUAAAAUAACAAGCCACCGCAACAAAAAGCGAGAAUGAUUCCAGACAGCCGACACGCAAGUAACAACAAAACAAUAAUAAUAAGUUAAAACAACAUUUAUUCUAAACAAUUUGGCGUGGCAUGAUUGAUGGCUGGCAUGCCGGAGAUGAUGAUGAUGAGUACUACUUUCUAUACAGCGAAACGCUAAUAAAAAGGCCAAGAGCGCCGCAAUUGAAUGUCGGCGGCGGUCGGGAAAUUGGCUCCAAAACGAAGUCAUCAAAGGAAAAGCCAUUUGCCCAUUUUCAUUCGCUCACUCAUUUAUUCAUUCGGCUAGUUAGCCAGUCCGCCGAAGACUGGGCCAUUGAUUGCUCCCCUUCCGGUGGGCGGGCACUUUUGGGGGCGUUCGGUCACGAAUUAAUAUUAAACUUGGUCUGCUGUCCAAACAAUGUCUGGCCAAAAUAAUAAAGGAGCCCACUAAUAAUGACCAAAUGGCACGCGAUGGUCGAAAGUGCACACAAUCGGAUUGGGAGCGGUUGGGAUCAGCUGUUAAAAUAUAAACCUUUAAAAAAAACCUCCCAAUUCUUAGCAUAACUCCUAAAAACUCCUCAUAACCAAAAAUUCUGCAGAUUUCCAACUGAUUUAUGCACGUCGUUAUGUGGGACAAAUAUAAAUCUAGUUUGGGUCGGGAAAAUUAAUAAACUGGCUCGCAAAUUGAUAAGAAGAAAACGGCCUUAAAAAAAGGGAUGGGCAGCAUCCAUACAAUGCAGCAUAGAUACAAUGGGUAGCAUAAAAACCGGGAAGGAAAGCAAAACAAAUAAAAAAAGAGGGUCCUGCAGGAUGUAGGAUAUACAGCCGAGGCGUGGCAUCCAUCAAAAGUCACUCAGGAACAUGUGUAUCGCAUGCUCCAGCCUCUUCCCGCGCUCUUCCACCAUUCGGAUUCCGGUUCUCUUUCUCUGGCUUUUCGCUGGCUGGGAAAUGGAAUAAACCCACGUGCCUCGCUUUUCCCCCUCGACUCCCGCCGGCAUUUUCAUCGUUCUGCAUGUGACCAGAAUUGUAUUCUGCUUUUUUCAUUUCGGCUAUUUUGGAAAUUCUCAUGCCACGCGCUGUUUUCGAUGCCUCCCACUUCUAUUUUCAUUCCGAUUCCGCGCUGCACGGCAACAAAUUUGCCGAAUGUGUCGUUAUACCAAAAAGAAAAAAAAACUGUAAAGCUAUUUAAAUGGGAAAUAUAUACUUCUCAAACAGAUAUAGCAGUUGUGUAUGCAUUCCAUAUUUUAAUAUCACGAAUGCCAUCUGAUUUUUCUCUGUGUGUGCACACGCUGGCCGCAUGAAAGCGAAAGUGAAAAUGAAAAUGGCUUUCGGCAUCGACAAGACCGCGAAGCAUUCGAAUCAAUCUAGACACGGCGACAAAAUUCAUGUGACUCGCUAGCACUAAUUGUUAUUCGCAGCUGCAAUACCCUCUAAAAAGAAAAUCUCGAUAUCUAUGAGAAGUGAAGUAGAUUCUGUUUAGUUACGAAAGUAGCUGAAGUCGCAGCUAAAAUCCCCUUUUCUAUUUGUAGUUUCCAAUAUUUUUUUAGCUCUAAACACACUUAAAUCCUUUAAAAAUAUUGCAAAAUCCCAAAAUGUUCUUUUCGAACAGGGUAACAGGUCACACUAGACCUAUUCCACUUGAUUCCGCCAGCGAUUCGCUUUUUGUAAACAAUUUUUUAUUGAAUUAAGAGAAGCAGAGCGGAAUGGGAUGGAAAAAAGUGAAAUGGUGACAAAACAACAAGAGGCUGGCGAUUAUUAAAAUAAUAUUAGAUUUAAAGCGAAUUGCGUGGGAUACUAGCAUCCCCAUCCCUCGGGUCACAUGUUGCAAGUGGAGCAAGAAGCAGCAGUAGCAGCCAAAUAAUAAAUAAAAGAAUUAAUGGAAGAAAAGGAGGAGGCCAACGAUUUAUGCGCUCCUCUGAUCCGAUUAUAGUCAAGCGGUUUGUCGCCCGAUGUCGAGCACGGCAAAUUAUCAUUAAUAUAAAUAGCCAGAUCGCCGGAAUUUGUUUAUCUGUAAGAUCUUAGCACAUUAAUUUAAACAAUUUCAGGCCUUGGCAUUGCUCCAGCUCACGUAGGCCCAAAAGGGGCGGCGAGGGGCUGACCUUCCAUCGGAGGGGGAAAGGAUAUAUAUUCCACAAGCUAUCCGUGUCGUCAUAGUUAUGUCUUUGAAUUUUCUGAAUUAUGUGUCUAAAUGUUCGCAAAAAAAACCAACAAAUUUAAUUCAACAGUGUCAUUAAGGAUUAGGAAAACAUAAUGGAACUUUUCCUGAAUUUUAUGGCUUGAUUUGAAAAUAUAUCUGGCGAUGACAUCUUUAGAGAUAUCGAAAUAAAAUAACUAACCCAACUUUGAUUAAUCUGCUAAGCUGGAAGAUAUGACUUACAUCAUAGGAACAAUUGUAAAUAUGUUUUGCAUCCCCUCACUUUCUUAAGACCCCACUUUCCCCAGAACUCUUUCAUUUCUCUAUUUAUCGAGCCGCUGUUUGUCUUCUUUAUUGUCUUCGACAGCGGCUUGUGUCAACUUUGGACCCGGAAAGUUCUUUAGUUUUAUGCGUAGUUGGCGUGUUUUCCUCACUUCCCAUUGACUUUUGUCUGCUCUUCGGGGCCGACGCUUUGACGCCCUCAACUGCCGAAAAACAUUUCCAUUUUGAUAACUCGGCCCUGUCUCCGGGUUUCCCUCGGUUCUCCACUUGCGUAAUUUGCAAUUACGAUGGGAAACUUUUCCCACUCCCUCCGGCUUUUCUGCUCACCACACUGCUGUCUUGGGGGCUCAGGGAACUCGAAUAUUUGCCAGCCGUUUGCGCCCCAAAUUAUGCAAUGCCAAAUGUUUGAGCCCGAUAAGAUGCUUGUCUCUCCUUCCCACUCCCUUUUUUAUCUCUUUUUUUAUCAUCUUUUUUUAGCGUUCCCAAAAAGACUUUCUGCUCGGGGAAACUCAAAAAUAAAAUCUGCAAAUAAACGUUUAAGUGAUAUCGAUAUGGCUUAUCGAUUCGAUUGAUAUUUAUCGAUAACGAAAAUAUAUUUUUAAAGCUUCUAUACAAAUUGUAAUUCUUAGUGGGAGAAAAGAAAACCUUAAUUUGGAAUUAAAAAGCGAGAUGGUAAGAACACCCCCAAAUAAAAAAAUAACCCUCAUUCCCCGAAUCAUUCUUCUUUCUUUUAUCGCUGAACACAGCAGUUGAAACAACAAAGCAAACGUCUGGCACAAAAAGGAGGCGCCACCACCUGGAGACAAUUUACCAGAUAGCCGUAUUACCUGCAAUCGCUCUUCACAUUUCGCAUAACGGUACACGUGCCGCCCCCGCCCCAAAAUCUCACACCUCCAACAUUCUCCGCUCAGCUGUUUUCUGAUUUUCUGGUGCAAGCAGGAACUUGUUACCCACGCCCUGGGCAGAGAAAAGAAAGUAGUGGGUGGAAAAUGGGGGAGGGGGGAGUGGCGGGAUUUGGGAAAACGUAGCCAGCUCUAGUUCACUCCAAUGCGGCCUACUUUUAGGCUCAGAAAGAGAGCGAAAUGCUCUCUCUUUAACGGCACAAAUCGCUCUUGAGCAUGCGGCCUACGAGGGACCUUGAACUCGAAUUUUCUUUUUCCUGAACCACUCGGCUUUCACUUUCGCUUUUGCCGCGUUAUGUAAUCCCCCGGGGAGAGCGAGCGAGAGCAUUAACGCAAGAGAGAGCACCGUUUAGGCUCGUGCAAUGGCAUGGAAAAUGAGCAGAACUUUCACUUUCACCAGUCAACGACACUCACACACACACACACACACACACACACACACACACGGGGAGAGAAAAGAAUGUGGAGAAAGUGAGAACGUUUGGGGUACAGAAAAAAAAUAAAAGGCAAACACAAAUGCGACGCAAAAAUAUUUGCAGGAACAACAAAACAUAUGAUGAUGUUGUUCCUAUUGUUUUGCCGAUUUUCCCCUUGUUUUUCCUGUUAAAUCGAAGCGCCAUAAAAAAAAGCUCAGCGAACAAACAAAUAAAUUUUGUAAUAGGCGGCGAGAAGGUGAAAUUGAUUUGCCUUUUGCUCAUGCUUUUUAUUGUCCGACAAAUGUCAGGGCCGGCCCCCCAAAAAAGUAUGCUAGGUAAUUGUCACAUCAUAGGCGAUGGAAGGAGGGGGUGUUGGUUGGGUGAGGGGGGUGCGUGUGUUUAGUGAGGGGGAGGUCCUUUCGGAACAUCAUUGCCCAAAAUCGCACGGCACGUGUAUUUAUAGCUGUGUGUUGAAGGGAUUUCCUUGACCCCGAAAAGGGCUUAAAAAUAGUAUCCGAAAAUAAUUUGUAGUAUUAACUCCAUUUAGAUACUUAUUUCAACAAUAAUACUUUUACUAAAAAUUCCCUAUAUAUUUUAAAAUCAAGUUGUUUAUCUUUUGUUUUCCGUGUAAAAGGAAAAAUGCGUAGAACAAAGUAUUAAAUCUACCAGAAUUAUGCGGCUGCGAACGGUCUACGGUGAAAAAGCAAAUGGGGCGGAUGAAUAAUGCUGAUGUUUAUGGCCCGACUCGCCCGACUCUUGGCCAACUUUAAAAUUAUGGCAAAGGAAAAUACAUUUCGUGAGCUAAAUUACGCAAUUUGCUGGCCGAAGGACCGAGGACAAAACGGCCUGUCAGAGUCAGGUGGAAGCGGAAAUAAACAGGUAAGCACACAAACACACACACACACACACACACUCAGGAGACACGCGUUCAGUUCGUUGACUUCCGCUUGGAAGGGAAAAUCGGAAACCCCACAAGAUUGGCCACCCAAAUAAAAAAAGAGGCAACGCCCCCACCCUUUUUCGCUCAUCUUUGUUCCUGCUGCCUUCUCCACUUUCUUCCACCUUUCACGAGCCAUUCGCAUUUCUCCGCUAAGUGUCAAUUACAUUGACGUUUAUUCAAAUAUGCAACGCACGGCCAGGAAAACUCGACAUUGGGAAAAGAAGUAAGGAAGCACAGGAAAAUAAUUCCACGGCGUAUAAAAAGCUCUAAAGUGGGAGCGAGAGCGCAGGAGAAAGCGGGAAAAGCCCUGUGUGCGUGUGUCCCCUCCCCCCCACUCCACCGGAAAAGUCACCUCUUUGCGUGUGAAAAAGUCUUCAAGUUGGCAACAUUUUGUGAUUUCGGGCGGAUUUAUCGGGUUUUAUUGUGCGUAUCACACAGGCCUUGCCUUGGCAUUUGCCGCAGAUAUAUGUUAAUAUGGUAAUCCGGCACUUUCCCCCGCUCUCAACCUUCUUAACCCUCGACCGAACCCACAACAGGCCAAAAGCGAGAGCACUCCAUCAACUUUUAAAGCCUGCUCUUAAAGCGGCUUCCCAUCAAAUUAUGAACUGCCUACGAAGAACCUAAGGCCAUCAAAGUGGGCUUACAAUAGAGAUGAAAGUUGCAUGCCACUUGGAUACGUGUAUCCUUUUGCUAAAAGGCACGGAUCAUACUUAUUAAAUUCUUAUUAUUUAACCCAAAAAAGGUGGCUAAAAGUAUACUCUUUUGAAUAAGGUAUGCUAAAUAUAUUUUCACAUUUUAUUAUUUUAUUUUCUGUGUUUUCAAUGUAUUGCCAAACGAUUGCUCCGCAAUUCGAUAACGUUGAAGAUCCAUUUUUGAUGCUGGCAAAUUUACAACGUUUACGUUCCGUUUGUUCGAAAGAGCUUGGCUUUGGCAACGGAAAUUUUAUGCGCAGCAUAAAAACGUUUUCAUGUGCAAUCAAACCCAACUCUUCGCCGGCGAAAUGGGGGCCAAAUAAAUGGGGAGUGAGCUCAAGAUGCUGUCCUAUCUGCGGCAGCAACAAGCCAAUCAAAAUGCAAUUUCCACUCGUGCACAGGACAUAAUUUAACGACACACAUGUGUGGAGCUGUAACAAGCUUUUCGUCCGCUUUGCCCCCAGCUUUUGCCGGCAUUCCCACGCUUUCCUCGCCGCUUCCAUCAAGGUACAAAUAACAAAUAUGCAAACAAGUUGAUUCAGCGGGCUCAGCUGUGACUAUGAAUUUGUCAUUUUGUUGCCGCAUCAGCAGGAAUGAUGAAAAUAUUUAUACAAAUAAUGGGCGACACUCGUUGCGUAUACGCAAUGUUGACGUUGAUGGGGUCACAGCACACAGGACGGAUGUAAAGAUAGAGAUAGAGAUAGAGAUAAAGAGCCAGCGACUUCAUCAAAACAGAAUCAGCUGCAAGGCUGUGCGAUAAGCAAACAAUUGCCCAAGGAUACGAAGAACUCAUCCACAGACUGGCUUUUCCGUUUCGGCUACCCAAAUUAAAUUCCUUAAGUAGAGACAGAAAUUCCCCACAUCAACGUCAAGUGGUUGAAAAUUCCCAUCGCUUUACGUUCCAAUUUUGUUGAGUUUACACGUGUGUGAAAUUUUCCUUCCCCCUUCAGCUGGAUUUUCCGAGCAUCCCCCGAGUGUUUCCAACUUAAAGUGUUGCCCCAUUCACAGUUAAUUAUCCUGACGUCAGAGCGGCCACUUGAGUCCGCCCGGAAAUCAACAAACAUUUCCGCUCAAAUUGGGGGAUUGCAGGCUAAAAGGGCAACAUUAGCAUAAUAAAUUGGGCCAGCAUGGUUUAUCGAAAGCGAGUGAAUAACUUCAUCGCUCAGCCGCAUUAAUAACGCGGCUUUAAUAAGGACUUGCCCAAGGAUUCAAGGAUCGAACUGCUGCCGACUACGUGACCAGAUAACUAAGCCUGCCUUAUCGGAGCGGGAAAAGCAGGGGAAAAUUUAUAAGGAACGUUAUUCUUCAUUCUGGAGUACACGGAAAAUAUUAAUUGACUAGAAUGUUUAAACAAAUUAGCUAGGCGCUAGAAUCACACUUAUGAGAGGUGAGUUAACAGGAAUUCUGAUGGAUUUAUUCAAAAGAACUUUAUAAUUUGUAUCACUUGUUUUUUUGUGUGUUUCUCACUGUGUAUUUUUUUGCUUGGAAACCAGGGAUAGUUCUCCCACUCCAACUCGCACAUCUAUGGGCCAUUGUAACAGCCUUUUGGUAAUUGUGCGGUUAUAAAUCCCUCCUUUGGCUUACUGCACUGACUCCGGGGCAAUUUAACGCCUGUCCUGCUGUUGCUGCCAAAUACCAUUCCAUUAAAGAGACACCGGAGUCAGGAUGGGAAAGGAUGUGCAGGUGCGCGGAUUGAGUGGAACAUCGAUCCGAGGCAAUUAAGGUCAACGGGAAAAAGGAAAAAAAAAACUCCGAGACUGGCUUCAACUUUUUCAAUUAGCCAGGUGACCGAAGUUAUCGCUCGGAAGAAAUCAAAAUCAAAAUUACGACCACGCAAACAUCAAACCCGAAAGGGAAGUAAAAGGAAAGAAAAACUCCUUUGGGCGGGGUAGCACAAACUUAGGAACUUAGGAACCCUUUCCGAACCCGUCAAUAAUCCCGAUUAGAGCAUGUGUAUAUGAAAUAUUUAUGCUGUGGUCUGCAAAUGGAAUUUGCCUCUGUGAAAAGGUCGCCCAAGAAGGCAUGAAUAAUGCAAUGGAUGUUACAAAGUACAAAGGAAUCGCAGCCUUUAAUUCUCUUUAAAGUCAUCUGGCCAUCUUUCAGUUCAUUUUAUGGCAGGUCGGGCAAUCAUAAUGAAAUCCCCUUUUAUUGCCCCAAAGUAUGCAACACAGUUUUGGGCCUCCUGCUCGAUGUCCUUAAUUUAUUGUUUUAAUUUUUAGUCGCUCGGCCACAAAAUGGCGUCCUGAGCCCCAAAAAACCAUGCGAAACUUUGGGGGAAAGUGUUAAGAACUCGUGUAAAUUCCAUUAGGGCCAAAAAGUUUCAGGCAACGAGCAAAGCAAAACAGGGUGUGAUGCCAGCCGAAGGCUCUGCUCUGUCAAGUGCGAUAAAUCAGGAGAGGCAGGAGCAAAAGCCUCUGCAGGACAAAGUGAGAGGGACUUUGGUAAUUAAAAGCAACGCGUGGCUGGAAUUAUGCAAGGACUACGGCUACAAGCUAUGUAAAUGCAAAUUUCCUCCAGGACAGCGGGCGCAAAAUCAACUAAUCAAUGUUAAUUGGAUUGGCGUGGGAAAUUCGCGAGUACUCGCCGCUUUUCUUGGCUUCGCGAAAAUGUGGGAAUCUAUAAAUAUGCAGCGGCAAUUACGCAUCUGAAACAGAUUGCACCGCUCCCAAAGAUAAGCGACCUUGAGUCAGCUGCCAACUGAGUGACAAGCUCGUUAAGAGAGAGCGGCGCGAAAGAGACGGAACAACGCUCGAACUGCACUGGGAGAAGCGUGUGAAUCGCAGAAAAUAGAAUAUUAAAUAUUAAAAAUAAAACAGUAGUAGAUUACUAGUAGAUUAGAGAAUUAAGAAAAUUAAAAAUAAUUACAAAUACUAAUCCUUCCUUUGAUUUAUUCAUUCAUAAUACUUUAGUACUCAUUUUAGCUUGUUAUCAUACUGAAAUCUUUGAUAUAUUUUUAUCAUGCCACUUAUCAUCACGCGUCUGUUGCGUUUUGAGAAACUGCUAUCGCAGAGUUAAUAAAUCAAGCCGAGCCCCGAGUAAACCAAAACCCAAACAACAUCCCAUAUAUAACUAUGUAUAUCGUAUAUAACGAGUGAGAAGAACCCAAAAGGUAAACAAAGUUCAAAGAGACUCUUUAGUUGGCAGUCUUUCAAAGGCUCACUCGCUCUCUUUUCGCUUGUGUAAUAUUGUUUUAUUCAAUUAGGCAAACAACAUUUACAAAAACAAAUAGGUCUAAUAUUUGCUAGCAAACCAAUACAUUUGUUGUCAUUCAAAUGCACACGAGUGGAAAACGGAUAGCAAAUGAAUAGAAAUGAGUCGAAUAGCUGACACACUAAAGAUCAAAGAUGAAUAGAAAUGGUAAGUAAGACUUAAAACAAAAAUCUUCGUUGUAUAAUGCGAAUAUUACCGAAGUAUUCAACUUGAAUAAUAUCAUUCACAUACUAAUUUAUGUGCAUCCUACUGAUUGGUUCACACUCCCUACUUUCUAAAACCAAUCCCCUGUUUUUUGUGGAACGCACACGCAUUGCGUAGUUACACAAUCGAUUUGUGAGAAGUUUAAUCAAGGAUUGAACAAUUGAAUCAACUUGAUUGACGCAGUUAAAAGAACCAUAAAGACACGAGAGAAAUGAAUAAAAUGAAUAAAA